UGGGGAAUAUUGCACAAUGGGCGCAAGCCUGAUGCAGCCAUGCCGCGUGUAUGAAGAAGGCCUUCGGGUUGUAAAGUACUUUCAGCGGGGAGGAAGGCGAUAAGGUUAAUAACCUUGUCGAUUGACGUUACCCGCAGAAGAAGCACCGGCUAACUCCGUGCCAG
rnacentral:rRNA from 1 species